rnacentral:rRNA from 1 species
UGGUGGAGUGAUUUGCCUGGUUAAUUCCGUUAACGAACGAGACCUUAACCUGCUAAAUAGUUACAGGUAACUCCGGUUACCUGGGCAACUUCUUAGAGGGACAUUGCGUGUCUAACGCAAGGAAGUUUGAGGCAAUAACA